GACCUCGUAGCUCAGUUGGUAGAGCAUUGGACUAGCACACAGAAAGUCGCGGGUUCGAUUCCCACCGUGGUCA